rnacentral:rRNA from 1 species
GACUAACGCUGGCGGCAUGCAUCAUACAUGCAAGUCGAACGGAGUGAAUUGGGCAACUGAUUCACUGAGUGGCGCACGGGUGAGUAACACGUAGAUAACUUGCCCCUUAGACCGGGAUAACAGCUCGAAAGGGUUGCUAAGACUGGGGUAAGCCCCCGGAGCGAGAGCUCUGAGGGAAAAGCAUGGUUUCGGCUAUGGCUUUGGGAUGGGUCUGCGGACUAUCAGCUAGUUGGUGGGGUAACGGCCUACCAAGGCGAUGACGGUUAGCCGGCUUGAGAGAGUGUACGGCCACACUGGAACUGAGACACGGUCCAGACUCCUACGGGAGGCAGCAGUAGGGAAUUUUCCGCAAUGGGCGCAAGCCUGACGGAGCAAUGCCGCGUGAGGGAAGAAGGCC